rnacentral:lncRNA from 1 species
CUCAGCUCUCAGAGUCCCCGUCCCCUCAGCUCACCCACCCGAGAGUCACGUCAUCUUGGUUUUUAUCACAUGUUCCCAUCAGGAGGGCCUGGGGGAAGACCAAGUGGUGAGAGGAUACAGAUCCAUCUGGGAAUCCCUCAAGUCCUUGGGCAAGUGGGCCCCAGAUCCUCAGAGCCCAUGAGGAGGCGAUGACAAGGACCCAGAUGGGGUCCCUGAGGACUAGGGUCACACGUGUCUUGAAUGCUGCCAUCUUCCCUGGACGUGUCGUGAUGAUGAGCGGGGGCAGGGAAAUGUCACCCUGGGAGAAAGGUUUUCUAUUCUCUAACUUAUAUAAGCCCUAGCCACAGCGUGCCCCAGUGACACGAUGUUCUCUGUUCCCACACUGCAGAGCCUUAGAAGGACCACAAGCCACACACCUUCCAGAGGGACGCUGGUCUCGUCGCCUCUUCCUCAUUACCCCACGGCCUCCAGGGCCCAGCAAAGAACCAACGCCUCUGCGCAGCUCCAGCCCUCUCCGCUGAUAAGAGACCCACAGAGGGAUCUAGGGCCACACGGCAGUCAGGGGGUUGAGGAAACUUGAUACGAGUGUGGGAGGGGGACACGGGACUCAAGUCCAUGACAUCGGCGUUGGAAGCAGCCACAGUCUGGUGAUUAACAAGUGGACUUGCAGCAAAGACCCGAGUUGAUCUUGACUCUUGGCAAAUGAUGGCCCCUCCUGGCCUCAGAGUCCUGAUACAGAGGCGUGGGCCGUAGUGAACCGGCCCUGAUAUCAGUCCCCCUGCAUUAACCCAGCAUACGUGGGGUUAAAACCAAAAGCACUCUUUCCCUGCUUCUCUAAAUUACAUUCAUAUGUAAAUAUCGGUUUUUUUAAACCUUUGCAUCCCUGAACUUCACAAGGCAAAUAGAAGUUACAAGUUUUUAGAGCCCAGGUGGCCUCAUGCUAACAUUUUGGCUAGUCACAGUCCUUUGAAGUUUUGUUACAGGGAAACUGAUGUCCAGAGAAUAUCAAGGAGCUGGAGCUUCCCAGACCCCAACUCCUGGGCUUCCUGGCACAGAAUCCACCAUCCACCAGGGGGGCUGACAACCAAGGACAUCCACCUGCACAUUCCCUUAUCUCGCCACCCUCCGUCCUGCAGGCAGCCUCCCAAGGCCAAACGCAGGCUGGUGGGAAGGCGCCGACCUGCAAGGCCACAGGCUCCCCUCCCUACAAGCAGCUGCCUUCCUCGCAGCCUUUAAAACCCUUGCCUCCCAUCAUUCGGGGAGACGAGACGAAUUUGAGGGCUCAGUCUCGUCUCCCAGCUGAUAUUACCUGAAAUAAAAACCCAUUCCUUUCCA